rnacentral:rRNA from 1 species
UACGAAGGGGGCUAGCGUUGCUCGGAAUCACUGGGCGUAAAGCGCACGUAGGCGGCUUCUUAAGUCAGGGGUGAAAUCCUGGAGCUCAACUCCAGAACUGCCUUUGAUACUGAGAAGCUUGAGUCCGGGAGAGGUGAGUGGAACUGCGAGUGUAGAGGUGAAAUUCGUAGAUAUUCGCAAGAACACCAGUGGCGAAGGCGGCCUCACUGGCCCGGUACUGACGCUGAGGUGCGAAAGCGUGGGGAGCAAACAGG